rnacentral:tRNA from 1 species
AGCAGGAUGGAGCAAAUGGUAGCUCAUUGGUCUCAUCAGCCAAAGAUGAGGGUUCGAUUCCCGCUCCUGCAA